ACCCAACAUGUUAUUGCAUUAUUGUACAAAAUUCCCUGCUUCACGCAUGCGCGAGUCGAACUUGUCCAGACUUGUCUGGUGCAUGCGCAAAAGUUUUCAGUUAGACGCUACUGUCCAGCAUAAUAGUUUGAUACGGAGUUUCCCUGGCUUUAUUCCUUUAAAGUCUGUUUUUCCUUUGUGUGGUAUUGCUGUGCGUUUAUAACUCCAAACCACAUUUUGUGCAUAUUCACACAAAUAAACAUUCAGACUUGACAUGUUCA